rnacentral:rRNA from 1 species
GGUUGGGUAAUUGCCUGGGUAAAUCGAUGCGCUCAGCUUAUCAAACUCCGGGUAGACAGAUGGACUCGAGACCGGGAGAGGUGUGAGGUACUCCGGGGGUAGGGGUAAAAUCCUGUAAUCCUCGGGGGACCACCAGUGGCGAAGGCGUCGCACUGGAACGGUUCUGACGGUGAGGGACGAAGCCCUGGGGCGCAAACCGGAUUAGAUACCCGGGUAGUCCAGGGUGUAAACGCUGCUGACUUGGUGUCGGGGGUCCUACGGGGGCUCUCGGUGCCGGAGAGAAGUUGUUAAGUCAGCCGCCUGGGGAGUACGGUCGCAAGACUGAAACUUAAAGGAAUU